UACGGAGGAUCCGAGCGUUAUCCGGAUUUAUUGGGUUUAAAGGGUGCGCAGGCGGCCUGCUAAGUCAGGGGUGAAAUCGGAUGGCUCAACCAUCCAAGUGCCUUUGAUACUGGCAGGCUUGAAUGCAGCUGAAGUAGGCGGAAUGUGACAAGUAGCGGUGAAAUGCAUAGAGAUGUCACAGAACACCGAUUGCGAAGGCAGCUUACUAAAGUGCAAUUGACGCUCAGGCACGAAAGCGUGGGGAUCAAACAGG
rnacentral:rRNA from 1 species